UAAACCAUGAGCUUUCUUUAGCGGAGGAAGGAAGGAAUGCAAUACGGGCCGGACCAACAAAUAAAGGCCAAACAAUGGCAAGCAAGGCAAGGCUGGCCAAACUUAUUACACACACAAUUACACAAACAUACACGCGGCAGAGACAUCAGGGUGCGUCAACAUGGAAGCCCGUGCCGAGUACCCGAGAGUCACCAGAGUCCACUACGAUCUCUCCGUCGUUGCUGGUGCACAGGCUGCCGCUCCCCACCCCGCCGGCGUUGCUGCCGUGUAUGUCGUUGCCGGCGAUGCCGACGUGGCUGGUGUCCAGGUUGAUUUUAUCGCCGGGGCUGGUGUCCAGGUUGAGUUUAGCGUUCGGGACCUUCAGCGGGCAAAAAGGCACGCCGAAGGCCAGCUGCGCGACGACGACGAGGAGCAGGACGGCGGCGGUGUUCCUGGUGGCCAUGGCAGCCGUCGAUCAAGCCCAGGGAAGCAGCUGAGGUGAUGCCGCUGCUUUACUUUGCUGUGGCGAGGAGGGCUACCUGUUCAGCAUAUAAAUACUGAAGCCGUGAAGCGUGCAGGCGAUGGUGCUGAGCGAGCGAUCAUGCUGGCGCGAUAGUCGUCGCAAGGCUUUAUUCAAAUGAAGGCUUUAUUCAAACGAUCAUCC
rnacentral:lncRNA from 1 species